ACACAUGCAGUCGAGCGGUAGAGAGAAGCUUGCUUCUCUUGAGAGCGGCGGACGGGUGAGUAAUGCCUAGGAAUCUGCCUGGUAGUGGGGGAUAACGUUCGGAAACGGACGCUAAUACCGCAUACGUCCUACGGGAGAAAGCAGGGGACCUUCGGGCCUUGCGCUAUCAGAUGAGCCUAGGUCGGAUUAGCUAGUUGGUGAGGUAAUGGCUCACCAAGGCGACGAUCCGUAACUGGUCUGAGAGGAUGAUCAGUCACACUGGAACUGAGACACGGUCCAGACUCCUACGGGAGGCAGCAGUGGGGAAUAUUGGACAAUGGGCGAAAGCCUGAUCCAGCCAUGCCGCGUGUGUGAAGAAGGUCUUCGGAUUGUAAAGCACUUUAAGUUGGGAGGAAGGGCAGUUACCUAAUACGUGAUUGUUUUGACGUUACCGACAGAAUAAGCACCGGCUAACUCUGUGCCAGCAGCCGCGGUAAUACAGAGGGUGCAAGCGUUAAUCGGAAUUACUGGGCGUAAAGCGCGCGUAGGUGGUUUGUUAAGUUGGAUGUGAAAUCCCCGGGCUCAACCUGGGAACUGCAUUCAAAACUGACUGACUAGAGUAUGGUAGAGGGUGGUGGAAUUUCCUGUGUAGCGGUGAAAUGCGUAGAUAUAGGAAGGAACACCAGUGGCGAA
rnacentral:rRNA from 1 species